rnacentral:siRNA from 1 species
AACCGCAACCGAUCUUAAAAGC